CCCUUCGAUGUUCUGGGCCGCACGCGUGCUACACUGAGUGGAUCAGCGGGUCAGGUUGCGCGAAAGUGUUUCCUAAUCUUGAAAUCCGCUCGUGAUGGGGAUUGACGGUUGCAAUUUUCCGUCAUGAACGAGGAAUACCUUGUAAGCGCGGGUCAUCAUCCCGCGCUGAAUACGUCCCUGCCCUUUGUACACACCGCCCGUCGCUCCUACCGAUUGAGUGGUCCGGUGAGGCUUUGGGAUCUGAGCGGAAAGAGCGUUUCGCUGUUUCUGCUCGGAAAACUCAGUCGAACCUUAUCAUUUAGAGGAAGGAGAAGUCGUAACA
rnacentral:rRNA from 1 species